UACACAUGCAGUCGAGCGGNGNANNGGUGAGCUUGCUACCUNACCUAGCGGCGGACGGGUGAGUAAUGCUUAGGAAUCUGCCUAUUAGUGGGGGACAACAUUCCGAAAGGAAUGCUAAUACCGCAUACGCCCUACGGGGGAAAGCAGGGGAUCUUCGGACCUUGCGCUAAUAGAUGAGCCUAAGUCAGAUUAGCUAGUUGGUGGGGUAAAGGCCUACCAAGGCGACGAUCUGUAGCGGGUCUGAGAGGAUGAUCCGCCACACUGGGACUGAGACACGGCCCAGACUCCUACGGGAGGCAGCAGUGGGGAAUAUUGGACAAUGGGCGCAAGCCUGAUCCAGCCAUGCCGCGUGUGUGAAGAAGGCCUUUUGGUUGUAAAGCACUUUAAGCGAGGAGGAGGCUACUUGGAUUAAUACUCUAGGAUAGUGGACGUUACUCGCAGAAUAAGCACCGGCUAACUCUGUGCCAGCAGCCGCGGUAAUACAGAGGGUGCGAGCGUUAAUCGGAUUUACUGGGCGUAAAGCGUGCGUAGGCGGCUUUUUAAGUCGGAUGUGAAAUCCCUGAGCUUAACUUAGGAAUUGCAUUCGAUACUGGGAAGCUAGAGUAUGGGAGAGGAUGGUAGAAUUCCAGGUGUAGCGGUGAAAUGCGUAGAGAUCUGGAGGAAUACCGAUGGCGAAGGCAGCCAUCUGGCCUAAUACUGACGCU
rnacentral:rRNA from 2 species